rnacentral:rRNA from 1 species
ACAAGCAGCGGAGCAUGUGGUUUAAUUCGAAGCAACGCGAAGAACCUUACCAGGUCUUGACAUCCAGUAAAACCUGCAGAGAUGCCAGUGUGCCUUCGGGCGUACUGAGACAGGUGGUGCAUGGUUGUCGUCAGCUCGUGUCGUGAGAUGUUGGGUUAAGUCCCGCAACGAGCGCAACCCUUGCCGAUAAUUACUAACAGGUAGUGCUGAGGACUUUAUUGGGACCGCCGGGGACAACUCGGAGGAAGGUGGGACGACGUCAAAUCAUCAUGCCCCUUAUGACCUGGGCUACACACGUGCUACAAUGGCCGAGACAAAGAGAAGCGAGGGCGCGAGCCGGAGCGAAUCUCAGAAAAGCGGUCACAGUUCGGAUUGUGGGCUGCAACCCGCCCACAUGAAGCAGGAGUUGCUAGUAAUCGCGGAUCAGCAUGCCCGCGGUCGAAUACGUUCCGGCCUU